AAUUCUUGGUGUGGGUAUUUUUGAAUCACUGUCUUAAAAUGCUCACAUGCUUCAUGAAAACUUUUCCCCUCUAGUUGUUUGAACAUAGAAACUUUCCUUCUUAGUU
rfam:Gossypium raimondii Chr10_contig_1013, whole genome shotgun sequence.